rnacentral:lncRNA from 1 species
CUUUUUUUGGAAUGGUUUGUUCAUUUUGUGAGGCUCAUGAGAUCAAUAUUCCAAAUAUGGAUGAUAUAUUCAUAAUUGUAGGUCGUUCACGACGUCCCACAGUGACAAAUUUACAUCACUAUCGUGUCGAAACGUUUUAUGCCAUCAUUGAUAUGUAACGUCAAGAAUUGAAUAUUCAUUUUUCUGAGGUGAAUAGUGAUUUACUUCUUUGUAUUGCGUGUUUGUGUCCAAAUAAUUAAUUUGCUGCUUUUGACAAGAACAAAUUGAUUCGACUAUGUGGGUAUUAUCCAGCAGAUUUUGGCACAACAGAUAUCUCAGAACUUGAUGAUCAAUUAGAUACAUAUAUUCUUGACAUGCACAUUGAUGAAGAAUUUGAAGGAUUACAAGGUCUUGGUGGUCUAGCACAAAAAUUGUUUGCGAAAAAUAAGCAUGAAGUGUAUCCAUUAGUUUUCAAGCUUGUGACAUUAGCCUUAGUUCUUCCCGAGGCUACUACUACAGUCGAGAGAGCAUUUUUUGUGAUGACUUACAUAAAAAAUCGUUUGCGCAAUCGAAUUGGAGAUCAAUGGCUGAAUGAUAGUUUGGUUGCAUCUAUUGAGAAGGAUGUGCUUGACAGUAUCAAAAAUGAUGUAAUAAUGGAACGUUAUCAAAAUAUGAAAACUCGCAGAGAACAAUUGUAAUAAAAUAUCGAAUAGAUAAAUUUUUUUCGUAACUUUUUGUACAAGUUAUAUUGUGCCUCACUAACUCCUUAUGUUUGUGUCUGCCACUGAUCCAAGGAUGC